rnacentral:tRNA from 1 species
UCCUUGGUGGCUCAGAUGAUAGAGAAUCUGCCUGAAACUCAGGAGACCCAGGUUCAAUCCCUGGGUCGGGAA